rnacentral:tRNA from 1 species
UGUUUUUGUAGUUGAUGUACAACGGUGGUUUUUCGGGCCACAGGACUCCGAGAGAGCAAGAAUU